rnacentral:rRNA from 1 species
GAGACAGGAGGCCGCCAGCCUGGUGGUCACCCGCGACGAACACCAGCCGCGCCACCACAACCGCCCGCCGCCUCCCGAGGAGGAGGAGGAGGAGGAGGAGGACACGGGCGCCGUGGCCCCGCCGUCCUGCGCGGCGAUCCUGCUGCGGCGGGAGGGCGGCGAGGCCGAGGCGGGGGAAGGCGAGGAGCCGCUGCAGCUGGUCCCGCCGCUCAACUUCGCCAUGGUGGACCACGGCGUGUACCGCUCCGGGUUCCCGGACGCCUCCAACCUGCCGUUCCUCGAGAACCUUCGCCUCCGCUCCGUCCUGUGCCUCUGCCCGGAGCCGUACCCGGAGGCCAACCAGGAGUUCCUCCGUGCCCACGGGAUCAGGCUGUUCCAACUCGGAAUCGACGGCUCCAAGGAACCCUUUGUGAGCAUUCCCGAAGACAGAAUCCGCGAGGCUCUGAAAGUUAUUCUAGACACAAGAAACCACCCGGUGCUUAUUCACUGCAAGCGUGGAAAGCAUCGAACUGGCUGCGUUGUUGGAUGCUUGAGGAAACUGUAGCGCUGGUGUCUAACAUCAGUAUUCGACGAAUACCAGCGUUUUGCUGCUGCGAAAGCAAGAGUUUCUGA